rnacentral:rRNA from 1 species
UACAGAGGUUGCAAGCGUUGUUCGGAUUUAUUGGGCGUAAAGGGUCCGUAGGCGGUUCGUAAAGUCUGAUGUGAAAUCCCACAGCUCAACUGUGGAACUGCAUUGGAAACUCACGAACUAGAGUAUGAGAGGGGUAAAAGGAAUUCCCGGUGUAAGGGUGAAAUCUGCAGAGAUCGGGAGGAACACCAGUCGCGAAGGCGUUUUACUGGCUCAUUACUGACGCUCAGGGACGAAAGCUAGGGUAGCAAACGGG